GCGUCGAGGUCGAGGAGCGGCUCGGCCGCUCGAUCAUGUCGGGCCUGCACGGGAUGUGGAGCCUGGGCGGCCUGAUCGGCUCCGGCUUCGGUGUAC
rnacentral:tRNA from 1 species